ensembl:miRNA dre-let-7i microRNA let-7i
GUGUACUGGCUGAGGUAGUAGUUUGUGCUGUUGGUUGGGAUGUGACAUUGCCCGUUAUGGAGAUGACUGCGCAAGCUACUCCCUUGCCAGUGCUG